rnacentral:tRNA from 1 species
CGGGCUGUAGCGCAGUUGGCUAGCGCGCAGCGUUCGGGACGCUGAGGUCGCGGGUUCAAGUCCCGCCAGCCCGACCA